rnacentral:rRNA from 1 species
UACGUAGGGUGCGAGCGUUAAUCGGAAUUACUGGGCGUAAAGCGUGCGCAGGCGGUUGGGCAAGACAGAUGUGAAAGCCCCGGGCUUAACCUGGGAAUGGCAUUUGUGACUGCCCGGCUAGAGUGUGUCAGAGGGGGGUAGAAUUCCACGUGUAGCAGUGAAAUGCGUAGAGAUGUGGAGGAACACCGAUGGCGAAGGCAGCCCCCUGGGAUAACACUGACGCUCAGGCACGAAAGCGUGGGGAG